rnacentral:rRNA from 1 species
UACGGGGGGAGCAAGCGUUGUUCGGAUUUACUGGGCGUAAAGGGCGCGUAGGCGGCCAGCACAAGUCAGUUGUGAAAUCUCCGGGCUUAACUCGGAAAGGUCAACUGAUACUGUGCGGCUAGAGUGCGGAAGGGGCAACUGGAAUUCUCGGUGUAGCGGUGAAAUGCGUAGAUAUCGAGAGGAACACCUGCGGCGAAGGCGGGUUGCUGGGCCGACACUGACGCUGAUGCGCGAAAGCCAGGGGAGCGCACGGG